AGGGUGCAGGGCGGAUGCCUUGGCACUAGGAGCCGAUGAAGGACGUGAUAAGCUGCGAUAAGCUUCGGGGAGUUGCACGUAAACUUUGAUCCGAAGAUUUCCGAAUGAGGAAACUCACUUAGAGUAAUGUCUAAGUAUCAUUAAGUGAAUACAUAGCUUAAUGAGGGGAACUCAGGGAACUGAAACAUCUAAGUACCUGAAGGAAGAGAAAGAAAUUCGAUUCCGUAAGUAGCGGCGAGCGAACGCGGAUUAGCCCAAACCAAUAAAGUUUUCUUUAUUGGGGUUGCGGACAUAUCAUAACGAAGAGGUAUCGUAAUUGAAGAGGUUUGGAAAGACCCACCACAGAAGGUAAUAGUCCUGUAUGUUAAACGAGAAGACUUCAGAUAUGAUCCAGAGUACCACGGGACACGUGAAACCCUGUGGGAAGCAGGAGGGACCACCCUCCAAGGCUAAAUACUACCUAGUGACCGAUAGCGUAUAGUACCGUGAGGGAAAGGUGAAAAGAACCCCGGGAGGGGAGUGAAAUAGAACCUGAAACCCUGCACUUACAAGCUGUGGAAGCACAUUUCUUGUGUGACCGCGUACUUUUUGUAGAACGGGCCAACGAGUUACGUUAAGUAGCAAGGUUAAGCACUUAAGGUGCGGAGCCGUAGCGAAAGCGAGUUUUAACUGAGCGUUCAGUUACUUGACGUAGACCCGAAACCGGGCGACCUACCCAUGAGCAGGAUGAAGCGAAAGUAAAAUUUCGUGGAGGUCCGAACCCACGAGCGUUGAAAAGCUCGGGGAUGACUUGUGGGUAGCGGUGAAAUUCCAAUCGAGCCCGGAGAUAGCUGGUUCUCCCCGAAAUAGCUUUAGGGCUAGCCUCAAGGUGAGAGAUACGGAGGUAGAGCACUGAAUGUCCUAGGGGGUAUUGCACCUACCGAAGACUAUCAAACUCCGAAUGCCGUCAUCUUAUACUUGGGAGUCAGACUGUGGGUGAUAAGAUUCAUAGUCGAAAGGGCAACAGCCCAGAUCGUCAGCUAAGGUCCCUAAAUGUAAGUUAAGUGGUAAAGGAUGUGGGAUUGCACAGACAACCAGGAUGUUGGCUUAGAAGCAGCCACUCAUUCAAAGAGUGCGUAAUAGCUCACUGGUCGAGUGAUCCUGCGCCGAAGAUUUCCGGGGCUAAAACUUACUACCGAAGCUACGGCAUCAGUAAUGAUGGGUAGGGGAGCUUCCCAUACGGGUUGAAGCAUGACCGUAAGGACAUGUGGACAGUAUGGGAGUGAGAAUGUUGGCAUGAGUAGCGAGAUGUGGGUGAGAAUCCCACAGGCCGUAAACCCAAGGUUUCCAGGGGAAGGUUCGUCCGCCCUGGGUUAGUCGGGACCUAAGCUGAGGCCGAAAGGCGUAGGUGAUGGACAACAGGUUGAUAUUCCUGUACUACCGAUAACCGUUUGAGAGAAGGGAUGACACAGUAGGAUAAGCUAAGCACACUGUUGGUUAUGUGUGCCCAAGCAUUGAGGCAGUCAAAGUAGGCAAAUCCGCUUUGAUAAUGCUGGGAUGUGAUGGGGAGCGAAAUUUAGUAGCGAAGUAGCUGAUUUCACACUGUCAAGAAAAGUCUCUAUCGAGGUUAAAGGUACCCGUACCGCAAACCGACACAGGUGGGUGAGGAGAGUAUCCUAAGGCCAGCGAGAGAACUGUUGUUAAGGAACUCGGCAAAAUGACCCCGUAACUUAGGGAUAAGGGGUGCCACCAUCAGGUGGCCGCAGAGAAUAGGCCCAAGCGACUGUUUACCAAAAACAUAGGUUUCUGCUAAGUCGCAAGACGAUGUAUAGGAGCUGACGCCUGCCCGGUGCUGGAAGGUUAAGGGGAUCUGUUAGAGCAAUCGAAGCAGUGAACUUAAGCCCCAGUAAACGGCGGCCGUAACUAUAACGGUCCUAAGGUAGCGAAAUUCCUUGUCGGGUAAGUUCCGACCCGCACGAAAGGCGUAACGAUUUGGGCACUGUCUCAACAACAGACUCGGUGAAAUUGUAAUUCCGGUGAAGAUGCCGGAUACCUGCGACAGGACGGAAAGACCCCAUGGAGCUUUACUGUAGCUUGACAUUGGGUCUUGGUACUACAUGUACAGGAUAGGUGGGAGGCUUUGAAACCAGGACGCCAGUUUUGGCGGAGCCAUCCUUGGGAUACCACCCUUGUAGUACUGGGACUCUAACCAUAGGCCAUGAAUCUGGUCUUGGGACACUGUCAGGUGGGCAGUUUGACUGGGGCGGUCGCCUCCCAAAAGGUAACGGAGGCGCUCAAAGGUUCUCUCAGUACGGUCGGAAAU
rnacentral:rRNA from 1 species